ensembl:lncRNA
UUUUUUUUUUUUUUUUUUUUGAGAUGGAGUUUCGUUCAGGUUGCAUGGCUCACUCCUGUAAUCCUAACACUUUGGGAGGCCAAGACAGGCGGAUCACCUGAGGUCAGGAAUUCAAGGCCAGCCUGGCAAACAUGGUGAAAUCCCGUCUCUACUAAAAAUACAAAAAAUUAGCCAGGCGUGGUGGCAGGUGCCUGUAAUCCCAGCUACUCGGGAGGCUGAGGCAGGAGAAUCGCUCGAACCCAAGAGGCAGAGGUUGCGGUGAGAUCAAAAGUUCUAAGACAGACUUUGUUGGUAAGGAUGUAAGGAAAGAAGCACUGUCACACACUGCAGGUCAAAAUGUACUAGUACAACCUCCGUGGAUGCCAGCUUAGCAAUACCUAGUAAAAGUCACAAGUACCCUUUAUGUAUCAAUUCUAAUUUAAAGAAUUUACUCCACAGGCAUACUUGUACAUAGGAGAAAUAAUGCAUGCAUUUAAGCAUUAUUUACACAAAGAAAAAUCACAUAUGGACCAAAUGUCCAUUAAUAGGCUACUAGCUAUAUGCAGCUGUAAAAAAAACAAUUUCUUGCAUUUUUAAGGGAAAAAAGCCCAUAACACACAUGCAUAUAUAGUAAAAAAUUUAAAUGUAAUAUGAAUAUAAUCAUGUAUAUCCAUAGUUGUUUGCAUGAAGAGAACUGAAACACAAGAAACCAGUACUCUUGGUUGCCUUGGGGUACUCGAACUAGGUGUUGAGGACAGAGCUUUGACAGAGAGUCUUUUCAAUAUAUGUUACUUUGUGCCUUUCAAAUUUUGCAACCUUAUGAAUACCUUUUCUAAAAAUAAAUUUUAAAUUGCGCCUAAAAGAGAAUAACUAUUUGGGAUUUUGCUAUUUUGAGCCCUCUAAAAUCAGAGCACCUCCUCUGCCCAUAGUUCUAAGUCUGCUCUUUCAUUUUCUCACACUCAACCUUUUAGCAAGUUUUCAGGAACAUUUUAUAUGAAGAGGGAACAGCCUGCACAUCAGUGUUGCAGACGUUAGUCUCUUUUCAAAAUACAGACAUCUCCCCCUUACAUGGAGCGAUUUCCCGUGGAUCUUCACUAGAGGUGGAUUUACUGAGAAAGAUCUCUCACAUGCACAGACUUUUUCUUGUGGUCAGGUACUUUGGUAAAUUUGCAAAGGUAAGAUAUUUUAACCAUGAGUUGUUAACACUCAUGUCUCUUUUAAUUCCCCUUCAUUCCCUUCCCCUUACUGGAAUGCAGUGAGUCUGCAAGCCUUUUAGGGAUCCCACUAAGCGGGAGUUAAGCUGAGGCUUCUCGUAAUUUGAGACUAAGAGACACACUUCUGCAUCCUUUUGUAGUCUUUUCCAUGCAGAGUUAAAUUGUGGUUGGGGGUCACAGUGCUAAGAAUGGCUUCCAGGAGAGCCCAUCAGGCCUCGCACUCAGCCUCCCCUGUUAAGAUGCAGCGCAGGAGAGUCACACUGGCAUCAGGGAGUAUCCUCUGGCACCAUUACCGGGCAUCGCAAACACUUGAGUGGUGGAAGAGAAAGAAGGUUCGAAAUGUCUAAGACCAGAAGCUUGUCUGGGGAAAAUCCUUCCAAUCCUAACACAUGUAAAACUGUGAGCAGAUUCAGUUCUGUUAAAGAAAAAAGCCCACAUUUGAGAUAUACCCCGAGUCCAAUGGCCCAUAACCACACAACCAAAACAUAAGUCAUUCCGAUUUCCUUGAAACGCUAAUUCUAAUCAUAAACACAACAUGUAAGUUUUACAUCCUUGUCAAUAUGUUUCAAUGAAAUUAAACUAAACAGCUAUGGACAAAUCAGUUUAAACAGCUCUGUUUGCCCUAAAUAAAGGUAAUAUAUAACAGCAAAUCAUUUAAAAAAGGUCAAAAUACAUCCUCCCUAUGCUUUACAAACUGUAAUGUAACUGUUGUAAGGCAGGCUUCUUUUUUGUUGUUUUUUGCUGUUGUUGUUUGUUUGUUUUGAGACAGAGUCUUGCCCUGUUGCCCAGGCUGGAGUGUAGUGGCACAAUGUCGGCUCGCUGAAACCUCCGCUUCUUGGGUUCAAGAGAUUCUCCUGCCGCAGCCUCCUGAGUGGCUGAGAUUACAGGCAUGUGCC